UACGUAUGGGGCAAGCGUUAUCCGGAUUUACUGGGUGUAAAGGGAGCGUAGGCGGCCUGGCAAGCCUGAUGUGAAAUACCGGGGCCCAACCCCGGGGCUGCAUUGGGAACUGCCAGGCUGGAGUGCCGGAGAGGCAGGCGGAAUUCCUAGUGUAGCGGUGAAAUGCGUAGAUAUUAGGAGGAACACCAGUGGCGAAGGCGGCCUGCUGGACGGUGACUGACGCUGAGGCUCGAAAGCGUGGGGAGCGAACAGG
rnacentral:rRNA from 1 species